rnacentral:rRNA from 1 species
CUAGCUGUAAACAUUGCCCAUUUGAUGUGCUUUUCCGUUGAGGGAAGGCAGUGUCGGAGCGAAGGUGUUAAAUGGGCCGCUUGGGAAGUAUGGUCGCAAGACUGAAACUUAAAGGAAUUGGCGGGGGAGCACCGCAACGGGAGGAAUGUGCGGUUUAAUUGGAUUCAACGCCGGAAAACUCACCGGGAACGACCUGUGCAUGAGAGUCAACCUGACGAGCUUACUCGAUAGCAGGAGAGGUGGUGCAUGGCCGUCGUCAGCUCGUACCGUAGGGCGUUCACUUAAGUGUGAUAACGAGCGAGACCCACAUCUUUAAUUGCAAAUGUAUAUGAGAAUAUGCAUGCACUUUAGAGAAACCGCCAGCGCUAAGCUGGAGGAAGGAGUGGUCGACGGCAGGUCAGUACGCCCCGAAUUUCCCGGGCUACACGCGCAUUACAAAGAACGGGACAAUACGUUGCAACCUCGAAAGAGGAAGCUAAUCGCGAAACCCGUCCAUAGUUAGGAUUGAGGGCUGUAACUCGCCCUCAUGAAUCUGGAUUCCGUAGUAAUCGCGGGUCAACAACCCGCGGUGACAUGCCCUGCUCCUUGUACUCACCGCCCU